GGUGGAAUGAGAUGACCCUUAGAAGUCAACUCAGAGCAUUUCAGAAGAUGCACCCCUUUAACAGAGGAAGAACAACACAGGAUGUGGACUCCUACGAUCCAUCGCAGCACUGCCUGAAUAUAAAUAUCUGUGACAGGCUGCACAAGGAUGCUUUAAUGGCAGUUGUCAGAGACAUUUAAAAUGGAUUAGACCCUCUCAGUUUUUUUUCCUCUAAUAAUGAAUAUUUAGUGAGACUUUUAAAGCUGUUAGCUAUUAAUUAUAGAACCUAAAAAUAUGAUGGUGUUCAGUCAAGUAGGAAUCAGCACAUGACUGUAUGCAGAAGUAUGUUCUCUGUCUAGCUUUUUGUGACAUGGCUUACUACUUUACAUUUGCUUUAUAAAUACAAGAAAUUAUUUUUUAAUGAUGACAGCUGGUGAUGAAGCAGACUUGCCCUUGAAAGUUGUAAGCAGGCUGGGAAUAUUAACACUGAGGAGGUAAAAGGAGAGAUUAAUAGAUAAAUGUCCUGAUACUUAAAUAAUGUAUGAUAAAAUUAGAUUACCAUAAAUUUAGUUCCAUUGUAGAUAAUGGUAUUGUUCUGAGGCUAGAAAUCCAAGUGUGGCAAUGGAAGGUUAAUGCUUGCAUUAACAGAAAUGCAGCCCAUUGUCCUUUGCUGGUGUUGUUGCUGCUUUCUGCAGAUAAGAAAUCGCCUUUCUCUUUAAAUUAG